UCUCCUGGAAACGGGUGGUAAUGCCGGAUGUUCCACAUGAUCGCAUGUGAUUGUGGGAAAGAUUCUAUCGGCGUGGGAUGGGGUCGCGUCCUAUCAGCUUGUUGGUGAGGUAACGGCUCACCAAGGCUUCGACGGGUAGCCGGCCUGAGAGGGCGACCGGCCACAUUGGGACUGAGAUACGGCCCAGACUCCUACGGGAGGCAGCAGUGGGGAAUAUUGCACAAUGGGCGCAAGCCUGAUGCAGCGACGCCGCGUGAGGGAUGGAGGCCUUCGGGUUGUAAACCUCUUUUGUUUGGGAGCAAGCCUUCGGGUGAGUGUACCUUUCGAAUAAGCGCCGGCUAACUACGUGCCAGCAGCCGCGGUAAUACGUAGGGCGCAAGCGUUAUCCGGAUUUAUUGGGCGUAAAGGGCUCGUAGGCGGCUCGUCGCGUCCGGUGUGAAAGUCCAUCGCUUAACGGUGGAUCUGCGCCGGGUACGGGCGGGCUGGAGUGCGGUAGGGGAGACUGGAAUUCCCGGUGUAACGGUGGAAUGUGUAGAUAUCGGGAAAGAACACCA
rnacentral:rRNA from 1 species